UACGUAGGGUGCAAGCGUUGUCCGGAAUUAUUGGGCGUAAAGAGCUCGUAGGCGGUCUGUCGCGUCGGCUGUGAAAACUUGGGGCUCAACUCCAAGCCUGCAGUCGAUACGGGCAGACUAGAGUGCGGUAGGGGAGACUGGAAUUCCUGGUGUAGCGGUGAAAUGCGCAGAUAUCAGGAGGAACACCGGUGGCGAAGGCGGGUCUCUGGGCCGUAACUGACGCUGAGGAGCGAAAGCGUGGGGAGCGAACAGG
rnacentral:rRNA from 1 species